GGGCCCAUAGCUCAGUUGGUUAGAGCAAACGACUCAUAAUCGUUUGGUCCCAGGUUCGAGUCCUGGUGGGCCCA
rnacentral:tRNA from 1 species